rnacentral:rRNA from 1 species
CAGCAGCCGCGGGAAAACAGAGGGUGCGAGCGUUAAUCGGAUUUACUGGGCGUAAAGCGUGCGUAGGCGGCUUCUUAAGUCGGAUGUGAAAUCCCUGAGCUUAACUUAGGAAUUGCAUUCGAUACUGGGAAGCUAGAGUAUGGGAGAGGAUGGUAGAAUUCCAGGUGUAGCGGUGAAAUGCGUAGAGAUCUGGAGGAAUACCGAUGGCGAAGGCAGCCAUCUGGCCUAAUACUGACGCUGAGGUACGAAAGCAUGGGGAGCAAACAGGAUUAGAGACCCCCGUAGUCCCUGUCUCUUAUAC